GAUGCCGCGAAUGUCACUGCUUCUGUACGUAAUUUCUCAGCAAGAAAUGGUAUAUGUGGUGAAGUACGUUGACGUGUUGUCUUCACAGCUAACAUCUGCGCGAGACGGCACCGGAUUGCUCUGUCUGACUCAUGAGCACAUUUUAGCUUGUAUGCAAAUUUUUCUGCUUAUAUAUUGUCAAGACAACCUGUGUUUCUUGUGUUGAGUGUUCUGUAUGUCUUCGUCCAUUUGACAGGUUAAAUAACUGCCUGUGAUGUCAGAAUGAGAUAUUUGCACAACCAUGUAGCUGGCUGAGGUCUUUUCACAAUUUAACGCGGUGUUGUUAAAUCACAAGUUUGCAGUUUCAGCAGUGAUUGCAAUAAACUGAACAUUUCUUAUUGUUUAGGGAUGUCACGAUUUCGUGAGACGGAGGCAUCUCUGCACCACAUGGGAGCCUGUGGCAAAAUGCAGUGUGAGCAGCCCGACAAGGAAUCUGAUCUGCUUGCUUUGACAAGGUAUGGCUGGGCCUGCAGAGAAAGUGUAAGCAGACUGUGCUGUGUUGCUGAUCAGUGCUGAUCUCCACGCCUGAGUUGGUCCCACAACAUCCAGGCACCAGCGUGCUUUGCUUCAUCAUUGACAAGGUGCGCGGCAAGCUCUCACACAAGCAACACAUUCCAGUGGUCUUCUGUCAACAGACAGGGU